CAGUAGCCACGGGAAAACGUAGGUGGCAAGCGUUGUCCGGAAUUAUUGGGCGUAAAGCGCGCGCAGGCGGAUAGGUCAGUCUGUCUUAAAAGUUCGGGGCUUAACCCCGUGAUGGGAUGGAAACUGCCAAUCUAGAGUAUCGGAGAGGAAAGUGGAAUUCCUAGUGUAGCGGUGAAAUGCGUAGAUAUUAGGAAGAACACCAGUGGCGAAGGCGACUUUCUGGACGAAAACUGACGCUGAGGCGCGAAAGCCAGGGGAGCGAACGGGAUUAGAUACCCCUGUAGUCCCUGUCUCUUAUACA
rnacentral:rRNA from 1 species